AUGGUGCUACCUCUACUUCAGGGAUUUUCACCCGAGGACUAUUUGUCAAUGACUUUGAUCUCAUCCACAGAGAUCAGCCAGGUGAAAUUCUACCCUAGCAUACAUCCUGAAAAAAAGGCAUUUUCAUUUACUCUCCGCGGAACUUUAAAUGUUAUUUGGGAAACCUUUCCACUGGCGGCAGCAGGAAGGGAGAAGCACGAUUCGGAAGAGAGGUCCGGAGAACCAGUCUGCCCAAUUGUCAACGUCUCCUCCUGUCCCCCCCCCGACCCGAACCCCAAGUCUUCCCUUGCUCAGCUCCCCCGCUCCGAGAUUGGGCAGCAGCGCCCCUCUCUUGCACGGCUUCUCCAGCCCUCCUCGUUCCCGGACGCCCCUUCCCGGUCUUGCAAGCGGAGCUCCCGGGGCUCAGAGGGCUCCUCCUCCUCUUCCUCCAUCUGGUUCAGUUCUCCCCUCCCCGCCGAGAUAUUUUUGGCAGUUACUCUGAAGCACAGGCGCUUUGGCACUUUCUGGUCAAAACAAAGCCACCGUUUCCAAGGCAAGCUUUUCAAAACACACACAUACACACGUUCCCUUCCGCUCCCUCUCCGGCGACUACUGUCUCGGGGAAAGGAGAGGGGGGGGAGAGAUGCUGCUACACCCCGAGCCUUGCUGGAAAACAUUGCCAGUCCCCUGAGUUCACACGCCACGAGAGACUCGCGCGCACGAAGGGGGAUGAUGGGGGGGCCGCGCGCGUGCGAAUGGGGGGGGUGUGUCAGAGAACAAAGCGAGCCCAAAAAAGAAUUUAGGGUCCUGGCGAAGGAGAACAGCGGGACAGCAAUAUAUAAACAUCCAAAAAAUAAUUGCCCGGGUUCUGUAAUUAGGCUUGCAAUGAGCGACGCGCUGCCCUCGCUCAUGGCGGAAGGGAAUCGGUGUGUGCGCGUGUUUUUCUGUCCCCCCCCCACUCCCGCACCGCUCAGUAUAAGGCUGCAAUCCGAGGCACGAUUACUUCGGAGUAAAGUCUCACUGACCUCCCCCCUCGGCAAAAAAAAAGCAAAACCGGAGGACUGA
rnacentral:lncRNA from 1 species